rnacentral:snoRNA from 1 species
AGUCGGUGACAAUGAACUCAUAGGCUUGUUUCUCAAACAUUCACAAUGGCCGCCUAAAGCUUUUGUCCCGCUAGGCUGGAGAGCUAAUGCAACUUUCAAACCUUCCCUGGAUAUCUGAGACU